CCAACCUUUUCGAUUUUUUCUUUUGCCACGCUUGCCUCCUACAAUUUUCCCCUCAGUUUUCAAAGAUUCUACACAAUCUGCGACCAGAUAUUCGCCAGUCAUCGGAAUGAUUUUGGUGAUGGUGGCUCAAGAGGUGGACUAGGUUUUCACUUAUCACGGUAGUCCUUGGUGGCGACGAGCAGGGUUUGUGAUGGUACACGAGUAGAAAUUAUCGAUCAAGUUUCGGCGACGUACGAAAGAGGAACGACGAUGCUUUGGCGACAACCCCUUCCGGCGCGUGUCCUGUCCUCUUCCGGUACCAGCCGGAUAGGUGACCGGCGACGGCAACACGCGUCAGCCAGACUUUUUCUAAGAUUCCGGUACUGAGUUCAGUUUUUAUGACUUUAGUUGCUCUACUUACUUAGAAGUUGAGAUUAAUUUCAACUGUCCGAUUGAAGAUUCAGACAUCAGAUCUGUUAUCCGUACGCAGACCGUUUUUGCUGGAUUUGCGAAACCCUAGGUAGCAAGUUUCUAACACCAAGAAGCCUCUGUUCUUUUAUGUCAAUCUUGCCAUGAGGUAUAUGCAGCAGCACAAUGAUGUUAAGCUUUCAGCUCUUGGACUGGGUUAAAAAUCGUGUAUUAGCCUAAUUGACUCUGGUCUUCGCUCAAAUCACAAUGGUUUCUCGGUUGUUCCCUAAUCAGUCGUCUGAUGUUUCAAAAUAUGUAAUCGUACGUGUCUGGUGUUCCUGUGACCGGCAGUACUUUACAGACAAUGCCACACCAUUAAUCAGAAGGUAUACAAAUUUCAUUUGAACGGGUGGUCAUUGGAUGAAAGGUUGUAAAAUGGGCGAGUUGGGGCAAAACAAGGCAACCUUUUUUCUUCUUAUCCUUGGACAUUACUUCAUGAAUCCUCCUACGAUCCUUGGAAUUAAAGGUAUGUUUGUAUAAUGUUCAUCGACGUGGCAUUGCUUUUCAUGUCGUACUUUUAUAUAAAUUGCUAGAAUAGGUUAUCCCGUAAGUUUGAUCUUAUCUCAUCUAAUAUAAAUCAAUCCAUUCAUUCUGUUCUUCUACAUCUAAACGCUAAAGAAUCUUUCUUUGUUGAGUUCAUUCAUGUUAAAGCAGGACGAGGCCAAGCUACUGAUAGCCAUGCUUUACUGAAAGGGUGAGAAGAGAGAAAAUAAGUGGAAGGAUGAAGCUGUUACAAGCCAUUGUACUAGGUGUGACAAGGUAACUGGAAAGGCCCUCAUGUUGGAUGAUAUGUUCAGUCCUUACACAAUCAAUUUCUUUCCAUGAAGCUUCUUGCUACUGUAAUUCUAUGGUUUUGAGUUGGAUUUAAAAACAUAUACAUGCUUAAAGCUAAUGAGUCUAUUUUUGGUGAUAUAUGGAAAGGAAAAGUCAACGGUAGUGAGGUGUCAUGCAAUUCAUUUUCCAAAGGUCAAGUCAUCUAAAGAAUAUUGCAGGUAACUAAAGGUUGCGCUUAAUGAGGAGAUGGAUAUGAGGUUUAUGCGACGACAAUUCAUUUAGUUUUGAAGAGUGAUAAAUCUUUAUGGUUGGAUGAAAGAUUUAGAUUGAGAUGUGUAAAAAGGGUUGAGUUGAAGAUGAAUUAAAGGCAGAUUGAAGUUAUGGAGCGCAGGUGAGGUGCUAGAGAAAAUGAGAAAUAUAAGGGGAAUUGAAGAUAGACUGAAGGUAGAGUGCAAAAGCAAAUCGAGAAAGUUAGGCAACCGAAAGUGGGAAUUAAAGGGAUCUUUAGAACAGAUGGUAAAUGCUGAUGACUAAUAAAAGUCAAGUCAGAUGAGUCACUUGACUAAGCAUCAAGUGAGAAUAGAAGAUCUUUAAGUGAAUCUUUUAAUCUUCAAUUUACAAGAACCUAAAGAAGUCGGUGUUUACUGUUUAGAGACCAUUUUGUAUAUGCUAUUUGUAGAUGUUACUGAAAGAAACAUCCUUAUGUAACAAAGACUCAGCUUCCAUUCCAUCAUAAAUUAAUGUGUACCCGGCCGCAACGCGGCGGGCGCUACUCCUAGUUAAAAUAAUAAAAUAAAAUUAUAUCUCA